rnacentral:rRNA from 1 species
UACGUAGGGUGCAGGCGUUAAUCGGAAUUACUGGGCGUAAAGCGUACGCAGGCGGUUUGCUAAGACAGGUGUGAAAUCCCCGGGCUUAACCUGGGAACUGCGCUUGUUACUGGCAGGCUAGAGUGUGGCAGAGGGGGGUAGAAUUCCAGGUGUAGCAGUGAAAUGCGUAGAUAUCUGGAGGAAUACCGAUGGCGAAGGCAGCCCCCUGGGUCAACACUGACGCUCAUGUACGAAAGCGUGGGGAGCAAAC